AUGUUCAAACUACCAAGGAUUCAAUGUCUUCUUUAAAUGUGAUUUGUGUGUUUGUUUAUAAGACACCCAGGCUGGCCUUGAACUCACUGGAUGAAUUUGAACUUCUUUUACUCCUACGUUACCCAACUACACAUGGCUUGCAAUGUUUUCAUGUUGGGUCAAAUAUGGAAUGUGGACAUUCAUUCCUAUAUCAUCAGUAUGAGAGGUCUUCUGAGGUUAUGCUGGGAAAGACAAACUGGCCUUGCUUCAAACCACCUUCUAGGAGGCAAGAUCCUAAAGCAACAAAAAUCAUCACUCUGUUCUAGAAGGGAAAUUUUAUGUCAAAAAUGUUCUUAAAACCCAGGAAUAGAUUCCUACUGCUGGAUCUUAGGGGUUAGGUCCCUCCUGUGGCAGGAGGGAUUGUGUAUACCUCAUAUCCGAAUACCUCCACUGAUCUGCUACAUGCAGACUUCUCCCUGAUAAUGUCUGUAAAUGUGGAAAGUUUCCUGUGUUAUAUGAGUUGCUGUUACACAUUCUAUUGCAGCCUCCAAGCAUCACUGAAGGACUCGAUGACCUACUCGGUAUCAGCACAUCUCUCUACUGAUCCUGGAAAGACUUUCCAUUUACUCAGCAAACCUCAUCUGGGUUCUGUAAUCUCUAGGUGCAGGGUCACAGGGAGACAGCUGCUGUCCCACUGCAGCACUGUUCUAGAACCUCUGCAAGAGUACAGGAGAUAAUGUGGGUAAAGAACUUCCAUCAGGACCCAGGAUGCAGCAUGAACUAAAAACAGCAUCUUUACUGGGAACAAGUUAUGACUGACCUCGUACAUUUACAACGUAACAAAACUGCUUCCUUGCUCUUCUUUGGAGGGUACAGUCUAGGGUUAGAAGCUUUGUCCUUAGUGUUGUGCUGCUGAUAGAGGAUGCUGAGAAGAGAACCCAGGGACUCAGUUUAUGCCAGGCAAGUACUCUGUCACUGCGCUGAACAGGUCCCUACACUCAUAUUUUUAUGAAAGGCUCUUAGGAAGACUGUUGAAUCAAGCAGUGGCACUUAUGACACUUUAUGCAGGAAUAACUGAAAUCUACUGAUGGCACAGAGUAGAGCCAUACAGCAGGUGGAACAGCCUGCUUCUCAUAUGAUUAUUAGUCACCAUGAACAGGUAGAGGGAUCUGCCUAGAAAGAAGGAAAGAAACGAGGUUUAUGUGGAGUUUCAGUUUGUCUACUUGGGCUUACCUCUCUCCUCCUGGAUGCCCAACAGCUCUGCUUGAUCUUCCAGACCACUGCCGCCACCAGAAGCAGAGAGAGGAAACAGCUGCAAGGGAAAACCACCUUGUUAGUCAGCUCGCCCUGCCUGACUCCACGCCUGACCCCAGGGAACAAUCCUCCACGUCCUAACUCAGCUCCUGAUGCUGUAUGUGAUAGAUAGGCUCACAGGAAGUUAGUGUGAGAAACACUGGCUAGCUGAGCUAAGCAAGCUUCCUGACUUCCUUCUAGGAAGUGCUCCAAUCCCUGCCUUCUCAAUAAGCCCCCCAGAGUAGCCAACCACAACUUACCCCAAAUAAGAAAAGCAAUUCUAACAUAAAUGAUAACAGGUAAUAAACAAGUAAUUUAA